rnacentral:rRNA from 1 species
UUGUCUCAAAGAUUAAGCCAUGCAUGUCUGAGUUCGGCCCCCGUCCCGUACGGCCAAACCGCGAAUGGCUCAUUAAAUCAGUCCCGGUUCCUUGGGUGACACGGCCCGCUCGGCGGGCGUUUCGGAUAACUGUGGCAAAUCCAGAGCUAAUACGUUCAAUUCGAGCCCCGACCCGGUGUCUCGUCAGCGCUACCCUCGCGGGAGUCGGCGUUUCUAUCGGGGAAGGGCGCUUUUAUUAGUGCGAGACCGGCGUCUGCCCCCCGGCAGACCCGCGUCAGGCGAACUCUGAAUAACUCGGCUCGACCGCUUCGUCCUUCGCGGACGGCGGCGCGCCUUUCAAGCGUCUGCCCUAUCAAAUGUCGACGGUAGAUUACGUGCCAACCGUGUUGACGACGGGUAACGGGGAAUCGGGGUUCGGUUCCGGAGAGGGAGCACGAGAAACGGCUACCACAUCCAAGGAAGGCAGCAGGCGCGCAACUUACCCACUCCCGGCUCGGGGAGGUAGUGACGAGAAAUAACGGCGCGGGUCUCGAGUCGGGCCCCGCGGUCGGAAUGAGCGCAGUCCAAAACCCUGACGGCGACGACCCAUCGGAGGGCAAGUCUGGUGCCAGCAGCCGCGGUAAUUUCAGCUCCGAUAGCGUAUAUUAAAGCUGCUGCAGUUAAAAAGCUCGUAGUUGGAUCUCGAGACGGUUACGGGGUCAGGCGGCGAGCGAGGCGGCGGACCGUGCCGGGGGGCCGGCCCGCCGACUCCUCACCGAGUCCCCUCGUCGUGCCCCCUCACUUUUUGACCGGCUCUCUCCCGCGGCCGCACUUUACUGUGCGCCGCGGGCGGCCGGCGAUUUACUUUGAAAAAAUUAGAGUGUUCAAGGCGGGCGCGAGCCCGGAUGAUAGCGCAUGGAAUGAUGGAACAGGACCGCCGUCCCGUUUCUCACGCCGGUCUCAGGGACGGAGGUAAUGGUUGACAGGGACGGCCGGGGGCACCCGUACCGCGGCGGUAGAAGUGAAAUUCGAUGAUCGCCGCGAGACGACCCAGAGCGAAAGCACUUGCCAAGAGCGUUUUCUUUAAUCAAGAACGAAAGUCGGAGGUUCGAAGACGAUUAGGUACCGUCGUAGUUCCGACCCUAAACGAUGCCGACCGGCGAUCCGCGGAAGUCCUGCCCAGGACUGCGCGGGCGGCCCCCGGGAAACCAGAGUCUUUGGGUUCCGGGGGGAGUACGGUUGCAAGACUGAAACUUAAAGGAAUUGACGGAAGCCACCAGGAGUGGGGUCUGCGGCUUAAUUUGACUCAACACGGGAAAACUCACCCGGUCCGGACACCGCUAGGAUUGACAGACCGAGGCUCUUUCUUGAUUCGGUGGGUGGUGGUGCAUGGCCGUUCUUAGUUGGUGGAGCGAUCUGUCUGGUUAAUUCCGAUAACGAACGAGACUCCGGCCUGCUAGUUAGUGCGUGAGCGUCCGGCGUUUAUCGGUUGUCGGGGAGCGGCGGGGUCGGCUCUCGUGGUCGCGCCCGUCGUCCUCUCCCGUCGCCGUCUUCGCCCGCUGUCGUGACCCGAUUGACUUCUUAGAGGGACGGGCGGUGGCCAGCCGCACGAGAAGGAGCGAUAACAGGUCUGUGAUGCCCUUAGACGUCCGGGGCCGCACGCGUGCUACACUGGGGGAGUCAACGCGGACCGCCUCCCGGCCCGAACGGCGUCGGGAAAGCCGCUGAGUCUCCCCCGUGCUCGGGAUCGGGGCUUGACCAUUGUGCCCCGUCAACGAGGAAUUCCCCGUAGGCGCGGGUCAUAACCCCGUGCCGACUACGUCCCUGCCCUUUGUACACACCGCCCGUCGCUACCAUCGGUGGACGGUCUAGCGAGGGCCUCGGACCGGCGACGAAUUCUUUCCUUCGCGGGAUCGACUCGUCGCCGGGAAGACGCCCGAACUCGGUCGCUCGGAGAUAGUAAAA